rnacentral:misc_RNA from 1 species
AACACUGUUAACCUGCGGUACCUGCGGAGGGAUCAUUACAGAGUGUAAAAACUCCCAAACCCCUGUGAACGUACCUGUCGUUGCUUCGGCGGAUCGCCCCGGGCGCUGCAAGGUGCCCCGGAGUCAGGCGCCCGCCGGAGGACCACAAACUCUUGUUUUAUACCGGAAUUCUCUGAGUGGCAUGUCUCAUGCAAAAACAAAAUGAAUCAAAACUUUCAACAACGGAUCUCAGAUCGGAAG